CGAUUAAAAAAUAAAUAAAGCAGAUCCAGUUAUCUCUCCCGUGGAGUUGCCGGCCACCGCUCGCUGCGCUUCCCUCUGCCCUAACCCACCAAGCGACCACCCGCCCCUCUCCCGCGGAGUCGCCGGCCACCGCGCAACCCCUCAUACGUCCCCCUCGCGCGCAGCCUGUUCUCCGUCGCCCCUCGCGCGAAGCCUGUUCUCCGUUGCCCUUGCGCACUGCAAGCGCCACACCGCGCCCCGAUUCUCCGCAGUGUACAUCCGCUGCUCGCCGCCGCCGUCCCGCCAACCUGACUCCUCCGACCUGUGGCGGUUUUCGCCGCGCAGCCCAUCCGCCGCUGAUUCAUGGAGGUACUCGUCCGUACGGCCUGUGCACCGUGAGCCGAGACGUCGAGGAGGAGCUCAGGAGAGAGAUGGAGGGCUUUUGCUCUUUUGGUUGAUGACAUGGUCUGGAACCUGUAGUUUGAUGUGAUGAUCACUCAUCGCCUGCCGCCAUCGCCCAGCCCUCCACUGCCGUCUCAGCAGACCAUCAUGAGCGGUGGACAUUUUUUAUGCAAAUUUUGAAUUAUUGCAUAAGCUUCCACAUUGCAGACUUUUUCAUGCAGUUUUUUGUAUUCAAAUUUGGAGAUGUUGUUUAUUUAGUAUUCUUCAGCUUGUGCUAAAGUAUUAUGCUGACCUUAAGCUAUUUGACGAUCUGUAAUACACAUAUUCGACAUGAACUCAGCAAAAUCUUAAAUUGUUUAAUUGGAAGAAUCAAAACUUAUAACUAGCCUAUGAAUCUGGUCCACUGGAGCACAUAAACUUGUUUUUUUUACAACCACAAGAUUUAAAGUUGGUAAAGAGUUAACUACUUUCAAGGUUUACUCGUUGAUCAUGAGUUUUGUUACUAAUUGGCACACAUUGUAAUAUCCCCUCUUCUGACCUGAAGGUAUAUAUAUACUUUUUAACUUUCUGGUUCUUAGUUGUUUAUUUUUCAAAUGAACAAUAAAAUCUGCUUGGUAUGGCCUUUUGAGAAGCAAAAGUGCAGGAAUUAGUAUGUGUUGCAGGAAUCAGAAACAAAUGUGCAUUCAAAAUUUCUGGCAAGACAAACAAGAAUAUGUCAUCAAAGAAUUCCUAAUAAAGAGAAAUCCAAUAGCUAUACGUGAGCGAGCACUCGCUAAUCACCUCCAAUUCUUCUAUCUUGGAUUACAAGAAAGAUCUGAUUUCUCAGUUAAAUGUUACUUUUUUUAUUUCAUAAAUUCUUUUUACAAAUAAAAUUCCUAAUGAGCUUGAACCAUCUACUUUGUAUUAGAGUGGAGUUAGGAUGAACAUCAUUGUUUACAGAAGCAAUGAGAUGUUUGUCUCUUUUGAUUUGAACUAAACUAUAGUUUUCUACAUUAUUUUUCUGACUUCUACUUCAUGUGUUCUAUGUCUUCUAGAUGAGAAAAAUCUCUCGUAUGCUUUCAUGCUGAUUGUAUAUUAAGAACUUAAUUUGAACCCCAAGUCACAUUAUCUUUUAAUUGCUUAUGCAGUUUUGUUAAUUUGAGUGCUAAGUCCCUUGAACUGUUCAACAUUAUUAUUUUUAAUUAUAUAUCGUGCCCAUGUGUUAACUUGGAACAAUCCAGAUUGGUUCUUCCGAGUAACUUCAGAUGAACCUGUUUUGCUAUAAUAUUCCAAUCCAUAUUUGUACUAAAUCAGCGACAACUAAUCUGGAUCCAAGGGAGUUGUGAAGAUGUUCAGUCAGUUUAACUUUUAAGUAUGGAUGUUACAAUCUCACCGGAGCAUUUAUUUUAUUUUAUUUUAUUUUUAAGUCUGAUGUGCAAGGUUAUCGUGGGUUUAGUGCUUUGUUGACAUAUCAAUGUAAUGUCUCAGUGGUCCAUGCCGAAUUGAUAUAGGUAGGAAUUUGAAUUCAUAUAUAAACAAUAUUACAUGUUAGCAUGUAUUCAAGAAAUCGCUAUCUUUUCAUUU